rnacentral:rRNA from 1 species
UGACAAACCGGAGGAAGGUGGGGAUGACGUCAAGUCCUCAUGGCCCUUAUGUGUAGGGCUUCACACGUCAUACAAUGGUGCAUACAGAGGGUUGCCAAGCCGCGAGGUGGAGCUAAUCCCAGAAAAUGCAUUGUAGUCCGGAUGGUAGUCUGCAACUCGACUACGUGAAGCGGGAAUCGCUGGUAAUCGCGGUUCAGCAUGCCGCGGUGAAUACGUUCCCGGGUCUUGUACACACCGCCCG